rnacentral:tRNA from 1 species
UUCUUAGCUCAGUUGGUAGAGCAUGAGACUCUUAAUCUCAGGGUUGUGGGUUCGAGCCCCACACUGGGCAAAA